UACGUAGGUGGCAAGCGUUGUCCGGAAUUAUUGGGCGUAAAGCGCGUGUAGGCGGCCUUGCAAGUCGGGUGUGAAAGCCCUCAGCUCAACUGAGGAAGCGCGCCCGAAACUGCAGAGCUUGAGUACCGGAGAGGAUGGCGGAAUUCCCCAAGUAGAGGUGAAAUUCGUAGAUAUGGGGAGGAACACCGGUGGCGAAGGCGGCCAUCUGGACGGAUACUGACGCUGAGACGCGAAAGCGUGGGGAGCAAACAGG
rnacentral:rRNA from 1 species